UGUAAAUAUCAUAUGUGGUAACACAAGAAGAGGACAUCACUCGAAUGCCAGUUGAGAACAGCGUGUGUGCAUUCUAGUAACGUUGACCUCGUCUUUCACCUUUGACCCGACUGACCAGAACACAUGCAAACAUGGCAAGCGGGUUAUUUUUACAUUUGUAUGACAUGUUUCAGUUUUAGCCUCAGACCGGUGAAGGUGGCGAAGUUUCAGAGAAAUUGGAAAUGUUCAAAAUGAGAGAGGAGGGGAAUGACAUGAUCUGAACCCCUGGAUUUAGAGAGGACCCCCGGCAUCACACGUUCAGUUUGUCAAUGUGAAGACGGUAGGAGGUGGAUUGUGUUGAAACAAAACAAGUUUGUCGAACCAGCUUUCUUUAAAAACCUGUUUCGCAGAUCUCAGUAAUUAAACUUUACCUUGAGGUGAACUGAGCGGUGUUGUUUUGACAGAAAGACACAAAGAUCAGAACCAUGGAAAUCAGACGUUAAAGGUUCAAAUAAGAGGAGGUGAGGACUGGGCAAAUGUGUGCGUGUCUGUGUGUGUGUGUGUGUCCUAAUGCCUGAUUUCACCUUCUGGCUGCAGCUGCUUGUGGGAAUAGCUGCAGUUGUGUGGAAACUUGUGAUGAAAUAACAAACAGAAUCUUACAUUACAACAAAGUCCAGUUUCCACCAUGUGAGGAUUAUGUUGAACGAUCUAACACAAUGCUUUCUGUUCAGUUUAAAAGAAUCAUUUAAUAACUUAGACGUAAACCAAGUGUUAUAAUGCGGGAUCUCAUUCAGUCUCCUUGUUGUGCAAACUGAAUGACUCACUCCCAUAAAACUGAUCAGACACAGCUACUGGUUUAGAUUUGAACCGCUGAAACUCUUAAAAUGUUUGCUUCGCACAAACACGCCAGACAGGCAGCAGCAGCACACAGCUCCGGUCUGAGUUCAGACAUGUGCAGGAGUCAAUACAGGUGAGAACUAACAACCUCCCCAUGAUGAUACAACAGCAGAGGAACGAGGAAGAAGUGCAGCUCUGGUCACACGGGAGUGGUUGAGUGCUUCAUUCGUCCCGGAUGUGCCAUGGGAGAAGCUGUGUUUUAAUGGAACCUUUCCUGGUUAUAUGAUGUAUAAAUAAAGGCAAGUUGAAAUUCAGAGAUAUGCAUCAGAGAACUUACUUUCCAUGUUGCACACAUGUGUCUAACAGGAGUCACAGGGCUGAUAUAAACCCACUUCCUCUGUGUUUGUGCUGUGAGAUGUUGUCGAGCUACCUGACAAACGUUGUGUGUUCUGAUAGAUAAACUGGUGAAGUUCACCUCUGCUGAGCCAACAUUCAGGAAUUCAGGGUGUGUGAGCCAGCUCCACUGAUGAAGGUGCAGUGAAAUACAAGUGGUGGUGAAGUGUGGAUUAUUAUUUUUUUAAUUUUUUUAAUGGGUAAUGAUUAUUGAUUACUGUUCCUAAACUAGAAUGUCGCUCAGUUCAUUCGGCAGCCAAGGUCCAUGAACAGCUCCGUCAAACCACAGUGAGGACUGCUAGAGGCAGAGGUUUAUUUGGAUCUGCACCAAUUUUCAUAAAUAUAAGUGAAAUGUCGCAGAACUGAGUUAUUCUUUGAGAAAACUGUGAAUAUGUCCAAAAAACUCAAGAAUUUUCUAGUUUUUUCUUUUAAGCCUGGUUCCGUCCCUUCGUCUGGAGACAUGUCAAAAUGUAAUUGGAUCUUUUUUGGCCUGUGUCCCGUCCUUCCUCCAAGUUUCAUGAAAUCAGUUUCGGAGUUUUUGCGUAAUCCUGCUGACAAACAAACAACAGGUUUAAGGACAUAACCUCAUCGGUGGAUGUAAAACUUGGCCGACAACGAGGUUCUUUGAGAGAAGCAUCCACCCCCCCCCCCCCCCCCCCCUUUGUUGAUGCACUUAUAAAUACAUUCUGGGCAUUUUGUGUUUAUCGAUGGGUAAGCAGGAGAACCAGAGGAAGACACACAACAGAGGCCUGGAGCUGCUUCACCAGGCUCGGAGACGCCUGCUCAGCCGGCCUCGACUUGCAUCACCGGUGUUUCGUCAGACGAGUCACACACAAAGGCAGGUUCUGCAGUUCCCCGGCAACAGAAGCUCGGACACUUAUAACCGUGGGUCUGAAACCAGAGGCAGCGUGGUGCGUCCGGAACAAUCAGAGCCUCUGUCGCACAACGCGGCUUCCUGCUUCACACACAGAUGUCGUGUUAGAGUUAGGGUUCAGUUUCUCGCCCCAGAGACACUUUGGAAUCCAGACUAGAGGAGCCGGGAUCAAACCAGCCCUCUGUUGCCAGUGGACGACCCUCUCUGCCCCCUGAGCCGCAGCCUGAACAGCUGAUCCCAGGGGCCAAAUAUGGAGUUUUAUCACAGUGAGGAAAUAUAUUGAUGUCAAAAAUCAUUUGAGAAUCUUGCUUUAAAGUUUAGUCUAUCGACUGAAAUUAAAAUGAUAUAAAAGCAACUGAAUAAAUUAAUAAAAUAAUUUAAAAUCCAUAUAAAUGCAUCAUGGAUACAAUCAAUAUUUCACAGAUUACCUGUUAAUACGUCUGCCUGUAAUUUGAUGUGAUAGUUAUAACUUAUAAAAAUGACUGUAUUCAAUAA